AUCGAACGCUGGCGGCAGGCCUAACACAUGCAAGUCGAGCGGAUGAAGGGAGCUUGCUCCUGGAUUCAGCGGCGGACGGGUGAGUAAUGCCUAGGAAUCUGCCUGGUAGUGGGGGAUAACGUCCGGAAACGGGCGCUAAUACCGCAUACGUCCUGAGGGAGAAAGUGGGGGAUCUUCGGACCUCACGCUAUCAGAUGAGCCUAGGUCGGAUUAGCUAGUUGGUGGGGUAAAGGCCUACCAAGGCGACGAUCCGUAACUGGUCUGAGAGGAUGAUCAGUCACACUGGAACUGAGACACGGUCCAGACUCUUACGGGAGGCAGCAGUGGGGAAUAUUGGACAAUGGGCGAAAGCCUGAUCCAGCCAUGCCGCGUGUGUGAAGAAGGUCUUCGGAUUGUAAAGCACUUUAAGUUGGGAGGAAGGGCAGUAAGUUAAUACCUUGCUGUUUUGACGUUACCAACAGAAUAAGCACCGGCUAACUUCGUG
rnacentral:rRNA from 1 species